AACUUUGAGCAACGGAUCACUUGGCUCUCGCAUCGAUGAAGAACGCGGCGAAAUGCGUUAAGUAAUGUGAAUUGCAGAAUUCAGUGAAUCAUCGAAUCUUUGAACGCACCUUGCGCUCCUUGGUAUUCCGAGCAGCAUGCCUGUUUGAGUAUCAUUAAUAUAUCAACCUCUUCAGCUUUUUGCAUGUUGAGUGUUGGAUGUGGGGGGUAUUUUUUGCUGGCCUCUAUAAAAUCUGAGGUCAGCUCCCCUAAAAUGCAUCAGCGAAACACUUUAUUUACCGCUCAUUGGUGUGAUAACUAUCUACGCUAUUGACGGUGAACGCAUGUUUAGCUUCUAACAGUCCAUUAACUUGGACAACCUUUUAUUAAUGUGACCUCAAAUCAGGUAGGACUACCCGCUGAACUUAAGCAUAUCAAUAAGCGGAGGCU
rnacentral:misc_RNA from 1 species